rnacentral:sRNA from 1 species
CUUCAUUGGCAUUAUGCAAGGGAAUAGUUAGGCAAUACCGUCUCAUUCUUUUUUAAAAAAAAUAACAGUGGCUCAAGAGAUAGUGGUCAUGUUGCCAACUAAUGAAAAUGUGCUCUGAAAUCCAUUCAGCUGGGUGGGCCUGAGGCAUACCGUGGGAAAGUUUCCCACCGGCUGAUUUUCUGUCCAUCUCAAGAACCUGUAUGUUCUCUUCUUUCCCUUUCCCCAGGUGCCCCCUGCUGAAUUUAGAAAAGUAACAAUAUAUCAAUCAAUUUAAAAAGGGUAGAAUAUUUUGGAAUGACGGGUUGUAGUGUUUUCUAGAGUGCUUUAGUUUUGACAUUUUAUCAGUAUUUUCCAGAGGUAAAUAAAUUUUGGAAGGAUUAUUACUUCUCUGUUGGGGCCCUAGAACAAUUUAGUCUUUUAUGGAAAAGCUGACUAUCUGGGAUCAUAUGCUCAGUUUGUAUAUUUGAGAUCUGAGAGAUCACAUUCUGAAGUCUUCUCAUAUUUAGUACACCUCUGAUUCUCACUAGUUGAAUUCAAGAACUUGAAAGGUUCAGGUCCAAGCAUCUCAUUUUGAAGGCCUAAUCACAACCAUAGUUGGGUAUAUACUUUUAGCAAUAACACUGAUAAUUUGUCAUGGCUUGGCAACUCUUGUGAAAUUUCAUAGAUCUCGUCGCUUACUGGGAGUCUGCUAUAUUGUUGUUAA